rnacentral:lncRNA from 1 species
GUAAGGUUUAAAAAAAAAAAAAAACUACUUUUUUAUAAAGUAUAAAAUAUUCAUUUAUUCUGACUGUACUUUCUCUGCAAAAGUUUUUAUUCACACACAAACACAAACACACAGAGAUAUACACACGCAUAAACCUUACUCAUCACUGUAUCUCUUCGCUCCCAAACAACCAAAAACCCUAACUUUCUCUAGAGAAAAACCUCCUUUCUCUCUAGCUGAAUUUAUCUGUUGUGUUUUUGAGUUAAAAGGUUUUCAAUGGUGUGAAAUCGAGUCUUUAGACAGAUUUUAAAAGUAUCUGUUUCUGUAUGUUUAGGUAUAUAAAGUGAAAAAAGCUAUGGCGCCAUCUGAUAAAGAGUUGGAGCUGUUGUUAAUGGAGGCUGGAAACAAGCUCCUUGAACCUCCCUCCUCAGUUGAUGAGCUCAUCACUCUCCUCGAUGUAAGCCCUAGUAUCUUAUUUUAAUCUUUCUCACUUAGUUCUGUUUCGUUCUUUUGGUUUUAUGUUAUGCAUGUGGUUUUCAUUUUGUUUUUUCGGUGACUGAAUAUUGGUUUUCUGAAAGUAAAGUAAGCUGCAUUGGCCUCUUCGUGAUCUACGUUUUCGUUUGUCCUAAAGGUUUUGUCUUUUUUUGUUCUUGGUUCUGUAUUUUAUUUUCGUGUUGAAUUAUGCUUCUGCCGUUACUGUUGUAAUCUUGAAUAAGUUCAAAAGUAAUUGCUAACUAUUUUUCUGUUCUGCCUCUGUCUAUAGGUACCAUUAACCACUCUUGACUAUUGCCAAUUUUCAAUCUGUUUUUUAGAGAUGUGCUAUGAAUUUGCCAAAUAUUUGAUGUGUAGUCAUUUUGCUCUACUAUGGUUUCAGUGCUAGAAUGUUGCACGUAUUUGACUGCAAAUCCUAUGCAGUAGCAGAUAUGUGGCUGAAAUUAUUUGAAGUUUUAAAUUUUUUUCAAAAUUAAAAUUGCGCGCUAGUGGUACUUAAUGGUUUUUCAAAUUUAAGCGCGUGCGCGCGUAUUUUGUGUAUAUAUAUGUGGUGUAACAGUCUUGAUUCCUCCUAAAGGGAAUCGCUGUAUAACGAUCUUGAUUCCUCCUAAGGGGGGUCGCUUGAGCUGCAUUUAAGUUAGUGUCUAUCUACACGCGUGCUAGUCUUUUUUUGUCCAUAUGCGGCGUAACGGUUUUGAUUCAUCCUAAAGGGAAUUGCGGCGAAGCGAUCUUGAUUCCUCCUAAAGGGAAUCACAUGAUUUGCAUUUAAGUGAGCGUCUAUCUACAUGUGCGUGAGAUUUUUUGUCUUGAUUCCUUCUAAAGGGAAUCGUGGCGUAACGGUCUUGAUUCCUCCUGAAGGGAAUCNNNN